UAAAACAUGACUGACAUUCAAUUUUUGUAACGUAUGUGAAUUAAAUGAAUAAAUAAAAAGCAAAAGAGAAAAGAGCUGGAAAACAGAGGGAAGAUACACGUGUGACAGAGGGUGAGAGAGAUGCUACCAAACCGACCCAACUAUAGACCCAAAAGGCCGACCCGAACCGCAAACGUGACCUGGCCGUAUCUUCCGAUUCCGGCCACCCCACCGGUCAAUCUUGGUACCAAUCUGAAGCUUAGAAGCCGUCCGUCGCUACCAUACCAUCCUCUCCGCCGAAAACUAACCGGAACGCCGACGACCAAAGCUUGAAAACCCGCAACUGUUUCGCUUUGUUCCGCCGACAUUUUCGCCAGUUUUGGGUGACACCACUGGUUGGAUUUUGUUCCCCACGACUCCCUCUUCCAUUUCCGACCAUCCACUGCCGCCGAGGACAUCGUUUUGCCGUUGAUCGGCCGUUGGAGGACUUACGGGUUUGGGAGCUCAAUCCGGAGCUAUCCCCGCGCGUGGAAGGUCACCACCGCCACCGUUGGACUCAGUGUGGCCAGAUAUUUUAGACUUGAGCUUCCCGGCCAGCGUUGAUCAAAUUCCGGUGAAUGUUGACCGGCAGGGGCAUUUUGGUAAUUUCAUCAACAUAGGAGUUGUAAAUUAUAGAUAGAUGUUCGUUUCAAAUUUAUUGCAUAAAUUUAGUCCUAAUUCUUACUUAUGGAAAAUAAUUAUGUCAUUUCCUUGAUUUAAGAGGAUCCGCGAGCGAGAAUCGGUCCACGGACGUAAACGAUAACCAAGUGUGAACACCGUCACUGUGAGUGGAAUAUUACAAAACUUAUUUUCAUAGUUAAUUAUGAUAGUAAUGCAUGUUUGCGAAAUAAGUGUUUUAAAUGUUCUGAUUUAAUGAUUUUCUCGAAAUUGAUUUUGUUCACGCAUUGGUAUUUUAUUAAAAUGCUUUAUUAAUGAUUUUGCGUAUCGACUUUGAAUAAGCAUGAUAAUAUUUUAAAGAUAAGAAAAGUGGAUUAAAAUGUGAUAUGAUUUAAAGUAUGGUAAAAAGGUAUGUGAAUAUGAGUAUAAUGAUUGUUUUUUAAAUCAUUAGACAGUACCCUUCCCCUCCAAAUACAAUGAUACAUAUGAGAUGAGAUAGAGGUCUUUGGGGCCUGUCUGAACACACAUAGAGGCUUUGUGCCGUGUGCUUGGGCCCUUUUGUCAUUUGGGGACUAGAUUAUGCAUACACAUAUAUGAUGAGGUGGAUGGCUGAUCAAAAUUAAAUAAUCCUUGAACGAGAUUGAGGCCUUGACAGAGAUACAACAUCAGGGCAUUGUAAAACAUGACUGACAUUCAAUUUUUGUAACGUAUGUGAAUUAAAUGAAUAAAUAAAAAGCAAAAGAGAAAAGAGCUGGAAAACAGAGGGAAGAUACACGUGUGACAGAGGGUGAGAGAGAUGCUACCAAACCGACCCAACUAUAGACCCAAAAGGCCGACCCGAACCGCAAACGUGACCUGGCCGUAUCUUCCGAUUCCGGCCACCCCACCGGUCAAUCUUGGUACCAAUCUGAAGCUUAGAAGCCGUCCGUCGCUACCAUACCAUCCUCUCCGCCGAAAACUAACCGGAACGCCGACGACCAAAGCUUGAAAACCCGCAACUGUUU
rnacentral:lncRNA from 1 species